GUAGGUGGCAAGCGUUGUCCGGAAUUAUUGGGCGUAAAGCGCGCGCAGGCGGUCCUUUAAGUCUGAUGUGAAAGCCCACGGCUCAACCGUGGAGGGUCAUUGGAAACUGGGGGACUUGAGUACAGAAGAGGAAAGCGGAAUUCCAAGUGUAGCGGUGAAAUGCGUAGAGAUUUGGAGGAACACCAGUGGCGAAGGCGGCUUUCUGGUCUGUAACUGACGCUGAGGCGCGAAAGCGUGGGGAGCAAACAGGGAUUAGAUACCCUGGUAGUCCACGCCGUAAACGAUGAGUGCUAAGUGUUAGGGGUUUCCCGCCCCUUAGUGCUGCAGCUAACGCAUUAAGCACUCCGCCUGGGGAUACGGCCGCAAGGCUG
rnacentral:rRNA from 1 species